rnacentral:rRNA from 1 species
AAUGGGGGUUAAAGUAUUAUUUAAAGAAAAAAUUAAUAAUUUUAUAGUUAAUUAGUAUUGUAAAAGAAUUUUGAAAUAUGUGAAAAUAAAUUUGUUUAAAAGUAAUUUUAAUUUAAUGUAUCUUGUGUAUCAGAGUUUAUUAAAAAUUUUUAAUAAAUAAAUUAAUUUCUCGAAUUUAAAAGAUUUAAAUAAUUAAAAAAUUUAUUGUAGCAAAAAUAUUUUUAAUAAUUAUUUUGAAAUGAAAUGUUAAUCGUUUUUAAAUAUAUCUAGUUUUUUUAGAAAAAAAUUUAAUUUUAAAUUUAUUAAAUAAUAAAUUUCAUUGGUUAAUUUUAUUAAUAAUAAAUUUUAUAUUUUAAGGGAUAAGCUUUAAAUUAAAUUUUUAUAAUAAAAAUUUUAAUUUUGAAAAUUUUAUAAUUUAUAUUGUUAAUAAAUUUUAUUUUAUUAUAAAUAAUUUCAUUUAAAUAAAAAUUUAAUUUUAUAUUUAAUUUUAUAUAAAAAAAAAUAAUUUUUAAUAAAAUAAAUUUAGUUAUAAUGAUAAAAUUAGUAUAUAGUUAAAAAUUUAAUUAAUUAAAAAUUAAUUAAAUUUAUUAAAUAUUUUAUUUAUAAUUAAAUUAAUUAAAAGGAAUUCGGCAAAAAAUUAUUUUCACUUGUUUAUCAAAAACAUGUCUUUUUGAGUUUAUUUAAAGUCUAAUCUGCCCACUGAUUUUAUUAAAGGGCUGCAGUAUUUUGACUGUACAAAGGUAGCAUAAUCAUUAGUCUCUUAAUUGGUGACUUGUAUGAAAGAUUGGAUGAGAAAUAUACUGUCUCUUAAUUAUUAUAUAGAAUUUAAUUUUUUAUUUAAAAAGUUAAAAUAAAUUAAAAAGACGAGAAGACCCUAUAGAGUUUUAUAGUUAUUUAUAUUAAUAGAUUAUUUGUAUAAUAAAAAUUAUUAUAUUAGUAAUUAUUUUGUUGGGGUGAUAAAAAAAUAAAUUUAACUUUUUUUUAUUUUUAACAUAAAUAAGUGAAUAAUUGAUCCAAUUUUAUUGAUUAUAAGAUUAAAUUACCUUAGGGAUAACAGCGUAAUUUUUUUUUUUAGUUCAUAUAAGAAAAAGAGUUUGCGACCUCGAUGUUGGAUUAAGAUAAAAUUUAAAUGCAAAAGUUUAAAAUUUUGAUCUGUUCGAUCAUUAAAAUCUUACAUGAUCUGAGUUCAAACCGGUGUGAGCCAGGUUGGUUUCUAUCUUUUAAAAUACUUAAUAUUUUAGUACGAAAGGAUCAAAUAUUAUAAUUAAAUUAUUAUUUAUUAAUGAAUUUUAUUAAAUAAAAAUAAAAAUUUUUAUG